GACGUGUUUGCGGGAGAGACCGAGUUCCACUUUUGUGCAACCGGCGCCGACGGAGCAACUGCCCCGGAAACUCUCAGGCAAAAGGACCGCUAACACGAU
rnacentral:ncRNA from 2 species